rnacentral:rRNA from 1 species
AGAACGAACGCUGGCGGCAUGCCUAAUACAUGCAAGUCGAACGAACUCUUCGGAGUUAGUGGCGCACGGGUGCGUAACGCGUGGGAAUCUGCCCCUUGGUUCGGAAUAACAGUUGGAAACGACUGCUAAUACCGGAUGAUGACGAAAGUCCAAAGAUUUAUCGCCAAGGGAUGAGCCCGCGUAGGAUUAGCUAGUUGGUGAGGUAAAGGCUCACCAAGGCAACGAUCCUUAGCUGGUCUGAGAGGAUGAUCAGCCACACUGGGACUGAGACACGGCCCAGACUCCUACGGGAGGCAGCAGUAGGGAAUAUUGGACAAUGGGCGAAAGCCUGAUCCAGCAAUGCCGCGUGAGUGAUGAAGGCCGUUAGGUUGUAAAGCUCUUUUACCCGAGAUGAUAAUGACAGUAGUCGGGAGAAGUAAGCCCCGGACUAACUCCGUGCCAGCACGCCGC